rnacentral:rRNA from 1 species
UAGGGAAUCUUCCGCAAUGGGCGAAAGCCUGACGGAGCAACGCCGCGUGAGUGAUGAAGGUCUUCGGAUCGUAAAACUCUGUUAUUAGGGAAGAACAAAUGUGUAAGUAACUAUGCACGUCUUGACGGUACCUAAUCAGAAAGCCACGGCUAACUACGUGCCAGCAGCCGCGGUAAUACGUAGGUGGCAAGCGUUAUCCGGAAUUAUUGGGCGUAAAGCGCGCGUAGGCGGUUUUUUAAGUCUGAUGUGAGAGCCCACGGCUCAACCGUGGAGGGUCAUUGGAAACUGGAAAACUUGAGUGCAGAAGAGGAAAGUGGAAUUCCAUGUGUAGCAGUGAAAUGCGCAGAGAUAUGGAGGAACACCAGUGGCGAAGGCGACUUUCUGGUCUGUAACUGACGCUGAUGUGCGAAAGCGUGGGGAUCAAACAGG